rnacentral:misc_RNA from 1 species
UACGGAGGGUGCAAACGUUGUUCGGAAUCAUUGGGCGUAAAGCGCGCGUAGGCGGCCUGCCAGGUCGGGUGUGAAAGCCCGGGGCUCAACCCCGGAAUUGCGCUCGAAACCGGUAGGCUCGAGUCCCGGAGGGAGAGGUGGAAUUCCAGGUGUAGGGGUGAAAUCCGUAGAGAUCUGGAGGAACACCGGUGGCGAAGGCGACCUCUUGGCCGGGUACUGACGCUGAGGUGCGAAAGCGUGGGGAGCAAACAGG